UGUAGCAAGGUUAACCGAAUAGGGGAGCCGGAGGGAAACCGAGUCUUAACCGGGCGUUAAGUUGCAGGGUAUAGACCCGAAACCCGGUGAUCUAGCCAUGGGCAGGUUGAAGGUUGGGUAACACUAACUGGAGGACCGAACCGACUAAUGUUGAAAAAUUAGCGGAUGACCUGUGGCUGGGGGUGAAAGGCCAAUCAAACCGGGAGAUAGCUGGUUCUCCCCGAAAGCUAUUUAGGUAGCGCCUCGUGAAUUCAUCUCCGGGGGUAGAGCACUGUUUCGGCUAGGGGGCCAUCCCGGCUUACCAACCCGAUGCAAACUGCGAAUACCGGAGAAUGUUAUCACGGGAGACACACGGCGGGUGCUAACGUCCGUCGUGAAGAGGGAAACAACCCAGACCGCCAGCUAAGGUCCCAAAGUCAUGGUUAAGUGGGAAACGAUGUGGGAAGGCCCAGACAGCCAGGAUGUUGGCUUAGAAGCAGCCAUCAUUUAAAGAAAGCGUAAUAGCUCACUGGUCGAGUCGGCCUGCGCGGAAGAUGUAACGGGGCUAAACCAU
rnacentral:rRNA from 1 species